rnacentral:rRNA from 1 species
CAGGUCACUCCUACGGGAGGCAGCAGUAGGGAAUCUUGCGCAAUGGGCGAAAGCCUGACGCAGCCAUGCCGCGUGUAUGAUGAAGGUCUUAGGAUUGUAAAAUACUUUCACCGGGGAAGAUAAUGACGGUACCCGGAGAAGAAGCCCCGGCUAACUUCGUGCCAGCAGCCGCGGUAAUACGAAGGGGGCUAGCGUUGCUCGGAAUUACUGGGCGUAAAGGGCGCGUAGGCGGACAGUUUAGUCAGAGGUGAAAGCCCAGGGCUCAACCUUGGAAUUGCCUUUGAUACUGGCUGUCUUGAGUUCGGGAGAGGUGAGUGGAAUGCCGAGUGUAGAGGUGAAAUUCGUAGAUAUUCGGCGGAACACCAGUGGCGAAGGCGACUCACUGGCCCGAUACUGACGCUGAGGCGCGAAAGCGUGGGGAGCAAACAGGAUUAGAUACCCUGGUAGUCCACGCUGUAAACGAUGAGUGCUAGUUGUCGGCAUGCAUGCAUGUCGGUGACGCAGCUAACGCAUUAAGCACUCCGCCUGGGGAGUACGGUCGCAAGAUUAAAACUCAAAGGAAUUGACG